CUCACCUCAGAUUUUCCUUACCUAUCUUCCCGCCUCGCCCAUCUCUCUCUAAGGCUCUCACCACCGCCGUGUCUCCGUCUCCGCCGCUCUCACCCCGAUCUAUCUGUCCGUCUCUCCGGGGCCACUGGGCUAAACUGAGGAAUUGGGAUCAUCUCAAUCUGCAGUCUCGUAAUAUUACUUAUAUAAGAGCUCGUAUGCAGUGAGCUGACCUAGCUGCUGCGUCUGCUGCUGUGCUAUACGAUGCUGAUUAUCCCAAGGUAACAUUUUAAAGUACAUUGCGGGUAGACUUCUCAACAAGACAAGUGCAUCAUGGACGAUCAAAAGGACUGGUUUGGUGCAUCAAUGGCAGUGCAAACAGCGGAGAUUGCUAUGUAGUUCUAUACACCUAUCACUAUCAUGAUAAGAAAGAAGAUUAUUACCUGUGCUGGUGGAUUGGAAAGGAUAGUAUUGAGCUCUAAGGCUCUCACCACCGCAGUCCGUCUCCGACGAUCUCAGCCAGCCCUCUCAACGGGGCCACUGUAUGUCCCUCGUUAAUAUAU